AUGAACGCUGGCGGCGUGCCUAAUACAUGCAAGUCGCACGAAACUUCUUUAUCACCGAGUGCUUGCACUCACCGAUAAAGAAUUGAGUGGCGAACGGGUGAGUAACACGUGGGUAACCUGCCCAAAAGAGGGGGAUAACACUUGGAAACAGGUGCUAAUACCGCAUAACCAUAGUUACCGCAUGGUAACUAUGUAAAAGGUGGCUAUACUACCGCUUUUGGAUGGGCCCGCGGCGCAUUAGCUAGUUGGUAGGGUAAAGGCUUACCAAGGCAAUGAUGCGUAGCCGAAUUGAGAGGUUGAUCGGCCACAUUGGGACUGAGACACGGCCCAAACUCCUACGGGAGGCAGCAGUAGGGAAUCUUCCACAAUGGGCGAAAGCCUGAUGGAGCAACGCCGCGUGGGUGAAGAAGGUCUUCGGAUCGUAAAACCCUGUUGUUAGAGAAGAAAGUGCGUGAGAGUAACUGUUCACGUUUCGACGGUAUCUAACCAGAAAGCCACGGCUAACUACGUG
rnacentral:rRNA from 1 species